AAAAAACCAACCAAAAAAGAGCACAAGCAAUCUCUCUCUCCUCUUUCUCUCUCUAGCAGCUGCUCCGCCGGAGUUCGUGAAGCCCUAGCUCUCUCGCUUUAUGCCGCUUCGGAUCCGACCCUCCCCCUCCCGCUCCCGCUCCGAUCCGUAGCUGCUGCAGCUGCUGCUUCUCCUCCUCCUCCUCCUUCGUCGUCGUCGGCCAUGGAACGCGUCGUCGGCGGCAAGUACAAGCUCGGCCGCAAGAUCGGCAGCGGAUCCUUUGGCGAAAUUUUCCUCGCGUCGCACAUCGACACGCUGGAGAUCGUCGCCGUGAAAAUCGAGAACAACAAGACAAAACAUCCGCAGCUGCUAUAUGAGGCCAAAUUGUACAACAUUCUUCAAGGAGGGAGCGGUAUUCCCAGCUUUAAGUGGGCUGGCGUGGAUGGAGAAGAUAACGUGCUCGUUCUCGAUUUGCUCGGGCCCAGUCUCGAGGACUUGUUCGUGUAUUGUGGGAGGAAGUUUUCGUUAAAGACGGUCAUCAUGUUGGCUGAUCAAAUGCUAACCAGAAUUGAAUAUGUGCACUCAAAGGGAUUUCUUCACAGAGAUAUCAAACCUGAUAACUUUCUCAUGGGUCUUGGUCGGAAAGCAAAUCAGGUUUAUGUAAUUGAUUUUGGGCUUGCAAAAAGAUAUCGAGAUGCUACAACCAACCGGCAUAUCCCAUAUAGGGAGAACAAAAAUUUAACUGGCACUGCAAGGUAUGCGAGUUGUAAUACUCAUCUUGGCAUCGAACAAAGCCGUCGAGAUGAUCUGGAGUCACUUGGAUAUGUACUGCUAUAUUUUCUUCGAGGAAGCCUCCCGUGGCAGGGAUUGAAGGCAGCCACAAAGAAGCAAAAAUAUGACAAAAUAUGUGAGAAGAAGUUAUCAACUCCUAUUGAGGUUUUGUGCAAAUCUCAUCCGGUGGAAUUCGCAUCAUAUUUCCAUUAUUGUCACUCAUUGACAUUUGAUCAACGGCCAGAUUAUGGAUUUUUAAAGCGCCUUUUCCGUGACUUGUUUUCUCGUGAAGGAUAUGAAUUGGACUAUGUCUUUGACUGGACCAUCCUUAAGUACCAGCAAGCCCAAAAGAGCAAAACUCAGCCUCGGAUGUCUCCAGUUGCUGGGGGAAGCAGCAAUCCUGUGGUGCCAAUGAAAAUGGAAAAUAAUCAAGGAAAUACUAGCGCUGCCUAUUCGGUUGAGGCCAAAGAGCGUCUUAGAUUGGGUGGUGCUGCUGGUCCUGCUGUGCAGAUGCAAUUUAAGUCGCCAAAGGGCAAAAACCCGAGAGAUGAACAACCUGCUAACAAGCAUGCCAUUGGUGAAGCUAGCAUGCCAUCGACUUCCUUUGCUCUGGGUGGUAUCACCAAAAGGAAUACUCUGAAAAACCAAUUUUUAGCUGAAGCUGCAAACUCUGGCAAUGACAAUGGUAAUAGAGUUGGUCAGUCGAGCAGCUGGAUUUCAUCACUCCAGCGUAAUUCAUCUGCCAAAUAAAACUGUGAUGAGUAAUUGGUUGAGGACAUUCUUCUUGCAUUGCUGGAGGCUUGGAAUGUGCAGGGAUGUGCUCUGGCCAAUGUCUUUCAUGCAUUUCUAGGGAUACUUCCAUGGGGAGACGAUCUUCUACUUUGACCGUGAAUCUGGCUGGCAGGUUUUUGAUAAUCUACUAGCGAAAGCUGGCAAGCUCCAAAUGGUUUUUGAAUCCAGUGAAUUGGGACCCGAUGAAUUGCAUUAGUUCUUCUAUAGGCACCAGCUGGCAUUUUUCCUCUGAAGGUGACUACAACCUAUUGGUGACUAUGAGAUGUAGACCAUGAUAAAGUCUGUUUGUUGUACAGAGACGUCACAAAUUAUAGCAACCUUGUAUUUAUGGGAUUAUGUAGUGCUGAAUUCAGACAGAGGGUGUCUGGACUCUGGAACUUCCCAGGAGCGUCUUUUACCUCUGGUGCUUACUUGUUUCCACCGCUUGUGAGAAGUAUUUGCAGCCAGAGGGAUCUUUGAACGAAGAACGGCAUGCACUCUCACUUGCACAUGAGGCAAACAUUAACUUGUGGAUUUCACAAAUGGACUUUUUUCUCUGCAUGCUUGUACAAGGCAUGCACGAUCUUUUUGAGGAUACUCCAUCUCCACAUAUUGUUUAUGUUUGGACAAAUUCUGAUCCUGGACAUGCGGUCACAGUUCAGGUUCCUGAAACUUUUCAUAGAUGUUCUGUCUAUACACGGGGACAUCUUUCUUCAAGAGCUCCUUAGGCUUGGAGAUCAGGACGGUAAAAGGUGGAGUUAGGGGGUGCAGGUUUGCAGUAACUCCUGAUUUCUCUUCUUACUGGUUCGUCAUACUUUUGAAAGCUGAUAUGUACUGUAGUGGACCCUGGGUUGUAUAGCUUUCUGUCUGCGGGAUUUGAACCUUCAUCUGGGAGUGAGUCCUUACAAAUCUUUUAUUGGAUAUUAGUGGUUGGUUCUCUUCCUCAAGAACUUACAGGAUCAGAUUCGUAGCUUGGAGUUAUUUGUCAUGUAAUAUGAAAAACUACAGGAGUAAGCAUGCCUAACUUCUGUUUCGGGCCAAGGGAUGAGCCUAUGUUGGAAGAUCAUCGACCAAAUGUGGUAUAAUGAUUUUUUUCCCCUUUCUUUCUGUUGGAGGUGGUAUAACAAGUUUGAGUAAUGAAUUUGGGUCUACAAAAUAACUACACUUAUUGGACUUAGCAUAUUCUUAUUACUUGUCGAAUCACUUGUUUUUGCGAGACAAUAUGACUUGUUUAAAUGCACUCGGCAAUGGACGCAUCA